rnacentral:lncRNA from 1 species
GAGAAGGAAGGCAGGAAGGCAGGAAGGCAGGAAGAAAGGCAGGAAGGAAGGAAGGAAGGAAAGAAGGAAGGAAGGGUGAGAGGAAGGGAGGGAGGAAAGGAGGAGAGAGAGAAAGAAGAAAGAAAGGAGAAAGAAAGAAAGAGAGAGAAAAUACACCCCACAGGUAUUUUGCUUAUAGCACUAACACACUCUCAAAGUUGAGAAGCUGGAGGAUCUAGCAGCCAAAACCUCCUUUAAGAGGCACAGAGGACCAAGUGCUGGUGGGGAACCCCUGCCUUGGGCUCCAAAGGCACCCCCUCUCUUCCCAGCUCUUUGUGAGGCUACUUUUGGGGUGUGGGAGGAGGGGCAGAGCCAAGAAUUCGGGUGUUGUCCUCCCUGACUGAUGUCUGCUGCCACCCACGCUCCUGAGAGAGGUCUCGUCAGUAUUCCUUCCAUCGCCUUGGUAACCGAACACAGCGCUGUGGUGACAGAGGAAAGGCGGCAGGCAGAAUCAGUCUGCAGGCCGGGUGGGGCCUCCCGCUGCUUCUACUCUAGCAGGCUCCCUUCGAGGGUCCCAGAUAAGACCAUGUGACUAUGGCUUUUGGGUCAUCAAGGGCUUCAGCCAGUGAAGGACCCACCAGUAUGCUUCCCUGUGCUAUGACAACAGUGGAGUCAUUUGUUGAAAAGGAGAUGUCAUAAGGUUAAAGCAGCCUGGCUCCCUGAGGGAUCACUGGAGGACAAGUGUCCUAGAGAAGCAUCC